AGAGUGAACGCUGGCGGUAGGCCUAACACAUGCAAGUCGAACGGCAGCACAGUGGUAGCAAUACCAUGGGUGGCGAGUGGCGGACGGGUGAGGAAUACAUCGGAAUCUACCUUUUCGUGGGGGAUAACGUAGGGAAACUUACGCUAAUACCGCAUACGCCCUUCGGGGGAAAGCCGGGGAUCGCAAGACCUGGCGCGGAUAGAUGAGCCGAUGUCGGAUUAGCUAGUUGGUGAGGUAAUGGCUCACCAAGGCGACGAUCCGUAGCUGGUCUGAGAGGAUGAUCAGCCACACUGGAACUGAGACCGACGGUCCAGACUCCUACGGGAGCAGCAGUGGGGAAUAGUUGG
rnacentral:rRNA from 1 species